rnacentral:ncRNA from 1 species
AUAUUAUUUGAUUUAAUUUUAAUUUAUAUAUAAAUUUUUGUUUAGAUAAGGGGUUGGUAGUAAAUAGAAUUAAAUAUUAGGGAGAUCUAGAUUUAGUAAUAAUUUUUAGUACUAACAAAAAUUGUGCCAGCAGUUGCGGUUACACAAUUAGUGCAAUUAAAUGUUUUUGGUUGAGAUUAUCUUGUAUUUUAAAUUUAAAUGAGGAAAAAUUAGGUGAAAUUUUUUUUUUUUAUUAGGUUUAAUUUUAGAAGGAGAGGUCAAUAAAUUUAUUUAUAAACUAGGAUUAGAUACCCUAUUAUUAUGAACUAUAUUCAAUACCAGGUCAUUAUUAGUUAAGGUCUUGAAAAUUAAAGAAUUUGGCGGUGUUUUAGUCUGCUCAGAGGAACCUGUUGUGUAAUUGAUAUUCCACGAUAAAUUUUACUUUUUUUAUUAGUUUGUAUAUCGUCGUUAUUGAAUAUUCUUUUAGGAUAAAAUAUUCAAGAUUUCUUUUAGAAAGAAAAUCAGAUCAAGAUGCAGCUUAUAAAAAAGAAUUAAUGGGUUACAAUAAUUUUAUUUAAAUGGAUGAAAGUUUGAAAAAUUUUUUGAAGGUGGAUUUGAAAGUAAUUAUUUUUUUUUAAUUUUAAUGAUUAAGCUCUAAAACAUGUACAUAUUGCCCGUCGCUUUCGUUAUAAAAUGAAAUAAGUCGUAACAUAGUAGGUUUACUGGAAAGUGAGUCUAGAAAGAC